CAGUAGCCGCGGUAAUACGGAGGGUGCAAGCGUUAAUCGGAAUUACUGGGCGUAAAGCGCACGCAGGCGGUCUGUCAAGUCAGAUGUGAAAUCCCCGGGCUUAACCUGGGAACUGCAUUUGAAACUGGCAGGCUAGAGUCUUGUAGAGGGGGGUAGAAUUCCAGGUGUAGCGGUGAAAUGCGUAGAGAUCUGGAGGAAUACCGGUGGCGAAGGCGGCCCCCUGGACAAAGACUGACGCUCAGGUGCGAAAGCGUGGGGAGCAAACAGGAUUAGAUACCCCAGUAGUCCCUGUCUCUUAUAU
rnacentral:rRNA from 1 species